AAAAUGACGAUGAUAAGGAUUAGUAACGAUUUAGUUCCUGUACAGAGAGUUGGCGAAUGGUGCAAGCCAACCGGGAGCAGUCGUGAACUCGCCUUUGAGUUUUAAGCAUGAACCUUAGUAGUGCUUGACGUAGUUUCCACGUUACGGAUUUUGAGUGGGGCGAUUAUCUUGUCGCCAAUUUGGGUGGUACCGCGGGAAGAUAUACAUAAUCCUCUCGUCCCUUUU
rnacentral:ncRNA from 1 species